rnacentral:rRNA from 1 species
UACGGGGGGAGCAAGCGUUGUUCGGAUUUACUGGGCGUAAAGGGCGCGUAGGCGGUCAGCACAAGUCAGUUGUGAAAUCUCCGGGCUUAACCCGGAAAGGUCAACUGAUACUGUGCGACUAGAGUGCGGAAGGGGCAACUGGAAUUCUCGGUGUAGCGGUGAAAUGCGUAGAUAUCGAGAGGAACACCUGCGGCGAAGGCGGGUUGCUGGGCCGACACUGACGCUGAGGCGCGAAGGCGUGGGGAGCGAACGGG